UAAUUAAGCGGAGGAAAAGAAACUAACGAGGAUUUGCUCAGUAAGGGCGACUGAAGCGUCAAUAGCUCACCAUGUGAAUCAGCACCUUAGGGUGUGGAAUUGUGGUUUGGAGACUGUUGCAUUACAGGGCCAGGUCAAGUUCCUUGGAACGGGGCAGCUGAGAGGGUGAAACUCCCGUGUGCCUGGCCUUGAGAGCGAUUGUCGAGGAGUCGAGUUGUUUGGGAUUGCAGCUCAAAGUGGGUGGUAAAUUCCAUCGAAAGCUAAAUAUUGGUGGGAGACCGAUAGCGAACAAGUACCGUGAGGGAAAGAUGCAAAGAACUUUGAAAAGAGAGUUAAAGAGUACCUGAAAUUGCUGAAAAGGAAGCGAAGGAAACCAGUGUUUGUUGCGUCAUACUUCCCUGCUCGCUUGCGGGUGGGGCGCUGUGGCCAGCGUAGUUCUGAGUGAUUGUUUUGGCCGGAAGGAGGUCUUGGGAAGUUGUCCUGUGACGCUCGCGGCUGGAUCAAUUGUUGUGGACGAAAUGGUUUUCUUUUCCCCGUCUAGAAACACGGACCAAGGAGUCUAACAUAUGUGCGAGUACAGGGGAGUCAACCCCCCGUGCGCAAUGAAAGUGACAGUGGCUGGAACGUUGUUGCACAGUCCGCCGGCCACAAUCCCUCGGGAGAACGGUCUGAGUGUGAGCAUACAUGUUGGGACCCGAAAGAUGGUGAACUAUGCUUGAGUAGGGUGAAGCCAGGGGAAACUCUGGUGGAGGCUCGUAGCGAUUCUGACGUGCAAAUCGAUCGUCAAACUUGAGUAUAGGGGCGAAAGACUAAUCGAACUAUCUAGUAGCUGGUUCCCUCCGAAAUUYCCYUUAGGGAUAGCUGCGAUCGGAAACCAAUUUUGUC
rnacentral:rRNA from 1 species